GACGAACGCUGGCGGCGUGCCUAAUACAUGCAAGUCGAACGAACUCUGGUAUUGAUUGGUGCUUGCAUCAUGAUUUACAUUUGAGUGAGUGGCGAACUGGUGAGUAACACGUGGGAAACCUGCCCAGAAGCGGGGGAUAACACCUGGAAACAGAUGCUAAUACCGCAUAACAACUUGGACCGCAUGGUCCGAGCUUGAAAGAUGGCUUCGGCUAUCACUUUUGGAUGGUCCCGCGGCGUAUUAGCUAGAUGGUGGGGUAACGGCUCACCAUGGCAAUGAUACGUAGCCGACCUGAGAGGGUAAUCGGCCACAUUGGGACUGAGACACGGCCCAAACUCCUACGGGAGGCAGCAGUAGGGAAUCUUCCACAAUGGACGAAAGUCUGAUGGAGCAACGCCGCGUGAGUGAAGAAGGGUUUCGGCUCGUAAAACUCUGUUGUUAAAGAAGAACAUAUCUGAGAGUAACUGUUCAGGUAUUGACGGUAUUUAACCAGAAAGCCACGGCUAACUACGUGCCAGCAGCCGCGGUAAUACGUAGGUGGCAAGCGUUGUCCGGAUUUAUUGGGCGUAAAGCGAGCGCAGGCGGUUUUUUAAGUCUGAUGUGAAAGCCUUCGGCUCAACCGAGGAAGUGCAUCGGAAACUGGGAAACUUGAGUGCAGAAGAGGACAGUGGAACUCCAUGUGUAGCGGUGAAAUGCGUAGAUAUAUGGAAGAACACCAGUGGCGAAGGCGGCUGUCUGGUCUGUAACUGACGCUGAGGCUCGAAAGUAUGGGUAGCAAACAGGAUUAGAUACCCUGGUAGUCCAUACCGUAAACGAUGAAUGCUAAGUGUUGGAGGGUUUCCGCCCUUCAGUGCUGCAGCUAACGCAUUAAGCAUUCCGCCUGGGGAGUACGGCCGCAAGGCUGAAACUCAAAGGAAUUGACGGGGGCCCGCACAAGCGGUGGAGCAUGUGGUUUAAUUCGAAGCUACGCGAAGAACCUUACCAGGUCUUGACAUACUAUGCAAAUCUAAGAGAUUAGACGUUCCCUUCGGGGACAUGGAUACAGGUGGUGCAUGGUUGUCGUCAGCUCGUGUCGUGAGAUGUUGGGUUAAGUCCCGCAACGAGCGCAACCCUUAUUAUCAGUUGCCAGCAUUAAGUUGGGCACUCUGGUGAGACUGCCGGUGACAAACCGGAGGAAGGUGGGGAUGACGUCAAAUCAUCAUGCCCCUUAUGACCUGGGCUACACACGUGCUACAAUGGAUGGUACAACGAGUUGCGAACUCGCGAGAGUAAGCUAAUCUCUUAAAGCCAUUCUCAGUUCGGAUUGUAGGCUGCAACUCGCCUACAUGAAGUCGGAAUCGCUAGUAAUCGCGGAUCAGCAUGCCGCGGUGAAUACGUUCCCGGGCCUUGUACACACCGCCCGUCACACCAUGAGAGUUUGUAACACCCAAAGUCGGUGGGGUAACCUUUUAGGAACCAGCCGCCUAAGGUGGGACAGAUGAUUAGGGUG
rnacentral:rRNA from 1 species